rnacentral:rRNA from 1 species
UACGUAGGGCGCGAGCGUUGUCCGGAUUUAUUGGGCGUAAAGAGCUCGUAGGCGGCUUGUCGCGUCGUUCGUGAAAACCUGCGGCUCAACUGCAGGCUUGCGGUCGAUACGGGCAGGCUGGAGUUCGGUAGGGGAGACUGGAAUUCCUGGUGUAGCGGUGAAAUGCGUAGAUAUCGAGAGGAACACCCUGCGGCGAAGGCGGGUUGCUGGGCUGACACUGACGCUGGAUGCGCGAAAGCUAGGGGAGCGAACGGG